GCAAAAAGUAGAGGUACUAAUGAAGAGAUUGAUCUGCAGUUAAAUGUGAGUACAGAACAUCUCAAUUAUCAUGUGCAUUCACUGUAAAUGUAUAUAUGAAAGAGCCCGUUACAGAGAAACACAUUCAAUUAACUAUAAAUGUUUUUUUUAAAUCAGACAAUAAAAAACGUAUAAUAAAAUACUAGUUAUAACUUUGGAGAGCUGCAGAAGGGUUAAUAACUAAGGUGCAUGCAUAUUAAAUACAUACUGGUGACCUCCUUAAUGCUAAAUCAAAUUAUUGAUAUUGUUUAUUUAAUUAGACUUUUUUUUCCCACCCCGUGGCUGUUUUAAAACAUGUUAAUGAAUUUAAGAAACUGUGACUGAACUAGCUCACGCAGGGAAAAGAUAUUUCUGGCCAACAACAGUCAACACAGCCGCUAGCAUGUUACGCUGUUUGGGUGCAUUUAAACUGCAGGACCGAGUUGUUGAAGGUUGGAUGUUGAGCCUCUUAAUUAUUAACAACUAAAUUAUUAUAAGUGUUAGCUAAAUGCACCUUCCGUUGUAUUAUUUAAUAAACGGUAAUUUAACGGUAACAGCGUGUCGAUGUUAGUUAUUCCCCAGCAACCAACUUGUGUGUUAGCAAUGGUUAGCUAAGUGACUUUGGUUAGCAUAAUACAUAAUACUUUUAAUAAGCAUAUAAACUGUGUACAUACUUCGGAUUUUGGGAUGAUAAUUUUGAGUUUAAUUACUCCGAUGUAAACUCUGGGAAAGCCAUCGUUAUCCAGCAAGUAAAAGCACCAACGGAAGUCCCCCUGGUUUAUGGUCCAACCGGAAACAGAGUUGUGGUGUCUUUGGUUCCGCACACAAUCCGAUCAUGAGUGCAGCAGAAUCAGAAUCAGUUUUAUUGCCAGGGCUGUUUUAAAUAAACCAAAGACGGAGCAGGCUGUGACAUCAAGAAAGAAGACGACAAGGAUUCAUCACGCCCAGCCAGCUUGUGAAAGUGACAAGGCCGCAUGUCCAUUGUGGGAUAUUUCCAACUGGCUAAAUGAAACACAAAAAUAAUUUCCACAAAUAAAGAAAGAGGAGGAUGUGGACUCUUUUACCCGGACCGGCUUUGUUACUGAAGGAAGAUCAUGAGGAUCAUUACAACAUCUUGAAGCUUGCUGCUGGCUGCCGGACUCCCGCUGCUCCUCCGCUGUAUUCUUUUUCUGGAUUUCACUGUAGAACACAACAAGAGUAAAUGGCAGGUGGUAGUUGCAGGGCACGUCGUUCCACUGGCCAUUCUCAUGCCAGAUCAUCACUACACAGUCUUCUCUAGAGCUUUUAUUAUCUGGCUGGGCCGGCCUCCAGUUCUCAUAUUGCUGAAGCGGAAGAAGAAGCAUACUUCAAGAGGGACCACAACUUUUCAUUUGAAUCCCCCUUACAAUUCAUCAUUCAGCGCUGUCAGUAAUCAGGAUGUGAACUUUUUUUAGCAUCUCAUUUUCAGUCUCAACUGCUGUGUACCACUUUCCCUACUUGAACUAUUCUCACAUCUUGCCCCUCACCGUGAUGGCAGGCUUUUCGUCCGUCUUUGACUACAGAUCUUCAGAACAGUAUAUAAACACUUUUGCCUUUAAGUGUGGCCAGAUGACACUUUGUAAGAAGUAGAUUGUUUCAGGCAUACUCCAUUCUUAAGGCAUAGAUAUUAGCGCUCUGUGAAGAAAUGCAGACAUAACUAUUUAUUUCAUUACAGGGCUCCAGCUAAAAAUACAUGGUUUUCCAGCAACAAAGGUUACCUGGCUUAACUUUUCAAGAGUUGAAAAAUCCUGUCUCAUAGUAACAUAAACUGCAGAGUUUUGGCUUCUGAUAAGCCUUCAAACUCAUCAUUCUAUUACUCAGACUGGGCGUAUAUCAUCUCACUGUUACCUGAAGCUGCCAAUUUUCACCAACACAGUCAUGUUUUCUAAACGCAGUGUUUAUUUCCAUCCAAACACCUGGUAAUGAAGUUAAUUUUUUGUGCUUGCACCUGUUGGGUAAUUUUGUCCCUUUAAAUAAACCCACUUGUGUUUGGAGUGGUGCAGCUGAGGUUGUGCUUAUGCAGAUCAGAUGGUGCAUUGCUAUUUUGGUGCUUGUUUAGGCAUGACUUUGCAUUUUCACAGACCUCUGCAUGCGCAGACUUCUCCAAAAUGAUAAAAGAUCCUUUUCAUGCAUGUUGAACUAACAUUUUUUUAUACAAAGCUAAAUGCAAAUAUACAGUAUAUAAUAUAGAACUGUUAAUGCAAUUAAAGCAUAUUCUGCAUUGGUUUAGAUUCAUGGGUGACUGAUAAUGUAGCUCCAAUGAGGCGUCAAGUAUAAACAAAGAAUAAUAACUGA